CUCGAUCUUAACCAUAGCCCAGCAAGGGCGGGGAGCUGGAAUAGGCUGCACUGGGUUGAGCUGGCGAACAGGGGUUACCGUGCGGAAAGCUGGCGCAGGAUAACCUGGGCCGAGGAGACGCACUGGAGACCAGAUACGUUGAAGUGGUGCUCUUCUCCCUGGCUGCCGGCCAACUCUAGCACGGCAACGGUGAGGAGCUUGCACCGAGCGCACCGGGCUGUGAGUGCGCAUGGGCGACACCGUGCGCACCACCGCAUAACACGGUGCUUCUACCGUCACUCGCUCCCCACGGUAAGCACAGAGAGUUGGCUCAGGUCUUAACCUUGCCUUCGCCAAUCUACCCGUGUACCCCCCCCAAAACAAAUUCGGCCUCUUCUUGCCUGCCUAGCCGUUCCUCCCAGUAUCGUCGUUACGCCUUCACUGCCUCUAUCUCCCACUGCGGACGGCGAUACUCCCCAGGGCUUGUCCAGGGUCCUGCCCCAUCUAAGAUCUACUCCCAGGUCCACUCCUCUGCUGGGUCCUGCUCUUCCUCCUCGAGAAUGCACGCUGCUUGGUCUGUUGGUGGUGGGUAGUUCUGUCACAGCGGUCGAUGAAAGGGGACCAAGGCGCAGCGUGUAGAGUGCUCAUUCUUACUUUAUUUUACGAGAACAUUUAAAUAACAGAACGACAGCCAACAGUUCCGCAAGGUACUCAGACAAAACGGAAAACAACUACCCACAAACCCCAAAGGAAAACAGGCUGCCUAAGUAUGGCUUCCAAUCAGAGACAAUGAAAGACACUUGCCUCUGAUUGGAAACCAUACCCGGCCAAAACAUGGAAAACAAAACAUAGAAAUAGAAUACUAGAAAAACCCACAUAGAAACAGAAAACCCAAAAUACAUACAAAACAAACCCCCUGCAACGCCCUGACCAUACUACUAUGGCAAAUGGCCUCUUUCACUGGUCAGGACGUGACAGUAGGCUAGCGUAGGGGUUCCCAACCAGGGGUACAAGGACAACCGGGGGUACUUGAGAAGACUCAUGAGACCAUAGGCCUUCUGGUAAAUAGGCCUUCUGGUAAAAGGGGGUACUUCAGGGGUACUCCAGGCAGAGCUAAAUUCAGUUGGUGGUACAGUAACCAAAGAAGGCUGGGAACCACUGGCCUAGCGGUUAGAUCAUUGGGCCAUUAACCGUAAGGUUGCUACUUUGAAUCCCCGCCCCGGCAAGGUGAAAGAAAUCUGUUGAAGUGCCCUUGAGCAAGGCACUUACCGUAAAUUCCGGACUAUAAGCCGCAACUUUUUUCCCACGCUUUGAACCUCGCGGCUUAAACAAUGACGCGACUAAUAUAUGGAUUUUUCCCGCUUUCAAUUUUUUUUUCUCAUAAAAAACACAUUCUGUGACUUGCUCAGUUUUUUGGCGGCAUGAAGCUUUCAUUAGACCAAUGAAAUUGCCGAACGGUUAAGGUCAAACAACUUUUUUGUUUACUGUUUAGAUUAAAUCGAGCGCCCUCAAACUUCCCAUCAUUCUGAUUACGGUAGUCAUUUUGUCACCCUCAUCAUGGCAAAGACACGGAGAAAUGCAUAUGAUGCAGCUUUCAAGUUGAAGGCGAUUGAUCUGGCUGUUGGAAAAGGAAAUAGAGCUGCUGCACGGGAGCUUGGUCUUAAUGAGUCGAUGAUAAGACGUUGGAAACAGCAGCGUGAGGAAUUGACUCAGUGCAAAAAGACAACUAAAGCUUACUGCUAAUUUUUUAUUUUUUGUUACAAGCCGUGUUUCGUUAAAGCCUAUUUAUUUUUGUUACAAGCCGUGUUUCGUUAAAGCCUAUUUAUUUUUGUUACAAGCCGUGUUUCGUUAAAGCCUAUUUAUUUUUGUUACAAGCCGUGUUUCGUUAAAGCCUAUUUAUUUUUGUUACAAGCCGUGUUUCGUUAAAGCCUGUGUAAAGUUAAUUUGUUUCAAUGUACCGGUAGGCACCUGCGGCUUAUAGACAUGUGCGGCUUAUUUAUGUUCAAAAUAAUAUAUUUUUUUAAAUUCAGUGGGUGCGGCUUAUAUUCAGGUGCGCUUAAUAGUUCGGAAAUUACGGUAACACUAAUUUCUCCAGGGCCCUGGCUGUGACCUCACACUCCGAGGGCGUCUCAGGGAGAGUGAGAUAUGCCCCCCCAAAAAAAACAAUUUCCAAUUCACAUGUUUAAAACAGGCCAGAUAUAAGCACCCACCAAAUUAGUAUUAAUUUACCUGUACUCUGCCACUCCCCCUACAUGUUUCUUCAUGGCCGUGUCAGAGCUCAUCCCAUAGAACAGCUUGACCUUUCUGCCAUUCCUCUCAAUGACCUCCCCGGCACACUGGUCGUGGCCAGCCAGCAUGCCCCCCAGCAUCACAAAAUCAGCUCCAGCGCCUAGAAUCACACACACACAACCCUGUUGAGAGAGAGUUAGGCAAGGCAGCAUCUUUGAGGGACACAACAAAUGCAUCCUAUUACCAAUAUAGUGCACUACUUUGACCCGGGCCCUAUAGAGAAUAGAACACAUACGCAAUGUCACUAUGAUAGUAUGAUUUAUCAAACCAGGACUCACCAAAUGCCUUAGCCACAUCGCCAGGACAGCUGCAUCCGCCAUCCUGGUGCGAUAAAACAAAACAUAUUGAGCAAACAUUGUGGAACGUUCAGUGGUUUAAUCUCUCAAAGGGAAAGCUAGGCGGAACCCGAGCUCCAGCACCUUUAACCCCUGGGUUUGUUCAGAUAGAAAUGUUGUGUAGAUACAUGUAUUGUGCAGGUGCGUUGCACCCUCCUGAAUCUGACCCAAGAGGUCAGAAUGUCAGAAGGUUCUUGAGGUCAGAGGUCACUCACUGAGAUGAUGUGACCCUUCAGGCCGUGGGCGGAGUCUGCACACUCUAUGACAGCACUGAGCUGGGGGUAUCCCACUCCCGUCUUAAUACGCGUCGUACACACAGAACCUAGAGGGGAAUCAUGACGUGUCAGUUUGUCAGGAGCUGAAUGCACUCAGCUGAAGUAUUUUUCUCUCUUGAAGGGAGCCCUGGUGAACUCAUGACUCCAUAUAGUGCUCUACUUAUAGUGCACUAUGUAGGGAAGAGGGUGCUAGAGUAACAGACGGAGUAACAGACAGAGUAACAGACAGGGCAACAGACAGUGUAACAGACAGUGUAACAGACAGUGUAACAAACAGUAUAACAGACAGGGUAACAGAGUAACAGACAGAGUAACAGACAGAGUAACAGACCGUGUAACAGACAGUGUAACAGACAGGGUAACAGACAGGGUAACAGACAGGGUAACAGACAGGGUAACAGAGUAACAGACAGAGUAACCAACGGAGUAACCAACAGAGUAUCAGAGUAACAGACAGAUUAACAGACAGAGUAACAGAGUAACAUAUAAAGUAACAGAACAACAGACAGAGUAACAGACAGAGUAACAGGCAGGGUAACAGCCAGUGCAACAGACAGGGUAAUAGACAGAAUAACAGACAGGGUAACAGACAGAGUAACAGACAGAGUAACCAACAGAGUAACCGACAGAGUAACGGAGUAACAGACAGAGUAUCAGACAGAGUAACAGAAUAACAGACAGGGUAACAGACCUUAUAACAGACCGUAUAACAGACAUGGUAACAGAGUAACCGACAGAGUAACUGACAGAGUAACAGAGUAACAGACAAAGUAACAGAGUAACAGACAAAGUAACAGAAUAACAGACAGAGUAACAGAGUAACAGACAGAGUAACAGAGUACCGGAGUGACAGACAGAGUAACAGACAGAGUAACCAACUGAGUAACAGACAGAGUACCAGAGUACCAGAGUAACAGAGUAACAGACAGAGUAACAGACAGAGUAACAGAGUAACCAACUGAGUAACAUACAUAGUAACAGAGUAACAGAGUAACAGACAGAGUAACAGACAGAGUAACAGAGUAACCGACAGAUCAACAGACAGAAUAACAGAGUAAUAGACAGAGUAACAGACAGAGUAACAUACAGAGUAACAUACAGAGUGACAGAGUAACCAACAGAGCAACAGACAGAGUAACAGACUAACCGACAGAGUAACAGACGGAGUAAUAGAGUAACAGAGUACCGGAGCAACAGACAGAGUAACAGAGUAACAUAGUAACAGACAGAGUAACCGAUGGAGUACCAGAGUAACAGACAGAGUAACAGAGUACCAGAGUAACAGACAGAGUAACAGAGUAACAGACGGAGUACCAGAGUAGCAGACAGAGUAACAGAGUAACAGACAGAGUAACCGGCAGAGUAACAGAGAGUAACAGACGGAGUGAUAGAGUACCAGACAUAGUAACAGUGUAACAGAGUAGCAGAGAGUAACAGACAGAGUAACCAACAGAGUAACAGAGAGUAACCGAUGGAGUACCAGAGUAACAUACACAGUAACAGAGUAACAGACAGAGUACCAGACAGAUUAACAGAGUAACAGACACAGUAGCAGAGUAACAGACAGAGUACCUGACAGAAUAACUGAGUAACCGACAGAGUAACCGACAGAGUAACAGAGAGUAACAAACAGAGUAACAGACAGAGUAAGAGAGUAACCGACAGAGUAACCGACAGAGUAACAGAGAGUAACAAACAGAGUAACAGGCAGAGUAAGAGAGUAACCGACAGAGUAACCGACAGAGUAACAGAGAGUAACAAACAGAGUACCAGACAGAGUAAGAGAGUAACCGACAGAGUAACAGAGUAACAGACAGAGUAACUGACAGAGUAACAGAGAGUAACAUACAUAGUAAUAGAGUAACAGACAGAGUAACUGACAGAGUAACAGAGAGUAACAUACAUAGUAAUAGAGCACCAGACAGAGUAACAGAGUAACAGACAGAGUAACUGACAGAGUAACAGAGAGUAACAUACAUAGUAAUAGAGUAACAGACAGUAACAAAGUAGCAGAGUAACACCCAGAGCAACUGACAAAGUAACAGACAGAGCAACUGACAGAAUAACCGGGUAACAGAGAGCAACAGACAAAGUCCCAGAGUAACAGACAGUAACAGAGUAACAGACAGAGUGGCUGACAGAGUAACAGAGAGUAACAGACAGAGUAACAGAGUAACAGACAGAGUAACAGAGUAACAUAGAGGGUACCAUAGAGUAACAGACAGAGCAACAGACAGGGUAACAGAGCAACAGAGAGUAACAGGCAGAGUAACCGACAGAGUAACCGACAGAGUAACAGACGGAGCACCAGAGUAACAGACAGAGUAACAGUGUACCAGAGUAACAGACCCACCUGGCCCAAUACCCACUUUAAUGAUGUCAGCUCCUGCCAGGAUCAGCUCCUCCACCAUCUCUCCUGUCACCACGUUGCCAGCCUGACCACAGUUAGAGACACACAGACGGACAGACGGACAGACGGACAGACGGACAGACGGACAGACGGACAGGCAGACAUAGUCAUAGCAUUUAGAAUACCUAUACAGCUACCAAACCAACUAACUACCAAACAGGUGAUAGUUUAACAUUGCAUGGCACAUCACAUUGCACAUGUAAGAAUAUUUACAGUAAUUAAAACGACAUAAGCAAAUGAAGUCUUCAAAAGCUGUUCAGCUGUGUUAACUUGAUGGAACGGCCUCACCAUGAUAGUGUGUUGGGGAAACCUCCCCCUGACGGUUUUGACAAACUCCACAAAGUGUUCAGAGUAGCCGUUGGCCACGUCCAGACAGAUGAAUCUGAUGUCAGAGACGGCCUUCAGGACGCUGCACAGCUUCUCCAGGUCGGCUUGACCGCUGCCUGAGCUGACCGCUAUGUGCUGAGGGGGAUGAGGACAGGGCAGCAGUGUGAGAGAACAACCAGGGUUGGAAGGAUGCAGGUGCUACCGUAGAAAUAGAAUCGUUAGAACGGGUCUGGAGCCUCUGACCACGGCAAUUUGACUGGAAAACUCAUGGGGAAACUCAAAAUGGCUACCAGUGCACACAUUAUGGCAUCAUUGACUUGUAAAGGGGUGGCCGUUCUAGCGAUUAUAUUUCUAUGGGUGCUACUAUAAGCACUCCCAUAACAAAUCAGAGCACUAGUCCUUAUAAGCAUUAGAAACAUUACCAUGGGCCACCCACUAUUUCCAUAACAACUCCUGAAUUCAAUACAUUAUUCAAACCCUGGGGACACCACUGUUGCAUGAGGUCAUGAAAAUGCUGUAUGAAGACAAUUCUAGCUGUCCUCCAAACAUAGUUGUCUAGGAUUAUUACAAACCUCCAAACAUUCUGGAAACUUGGCUGCAAAAGCCUUCCACUGCUCCACAGUGUAGUGCUUCUGCAUGGCGGUGAAGAGAGUUUGCUAGAGGAGAAUGUAGAUGAACAAGAAGAACGGAAAUUCACAGCGUUACUUAGUUCUCUGGCAACUGACCUUUCACAGGGCAUCACCCUGGCAACCCUUUCACAGGGCAUCACCCUGGCUACCCUUUCACAGGUCAACACCCUGGCAACCCUUUCACAGGUCAUCAGGUUGUCAAGACUUCACUGAAGCAGAACUGGGGAUGACUGGACUUUUUGUUGUUGUUACAGAGAAACAACAGAACCACUGGAGUUUUUCCUGGUCUGAUCACGUGGUCAGUAGAAACUCCCUGACCCUUACCAUGGCAUGUGUCCAGCAGUGUUUCUGAUGACCACACCAGGUGUGUGUCUCAUAUGGCACCCUACUGUCUGUAUAGUGCACCACUAUAGUGCAUGAAGAAUUAGUGCAUGAAGAAUUAACAGUGGUGGCGCCGGAGGGGAAAGCUGCUGUCUUAUCGUCUCUUAACCAACCAUGCUAUUUUUUUAUUUUUUUCACGUUGUUCGUAACUUGUUUUGUACAUAAUGUUGCUGCUACCGUCUCUUAUGACCGAAAAGAGCUUCUGGACAUCAGAACUGCGAUUGCUCACCUCAAACUGGAUGAAGAGUUCUUCCUCAAUGAGUUGUAUGGGAGGGAUAUACUACUACAGACACCAGACCAGGCCCAGAUCCCCGUUAUUCGCUGGAGAAGGAAACUGAGAUUUUGCGGAAAGAGAUCAGGGUGCCUUGUGAGGAUCGGGUGAUGAGUGGCUAAUCUGCCCUUGCCUUCCAUCCUGCUAGCUAACGUUCAAUCGCUGGAAAAUAAAUGUGACAAACUGAAAGCACGUUUGUCCUUCCAACAGGACAUUAAAAACUGUAAUUUCUUAUGUUUCACCGAAUCUUGGCUGAAUGACGACAUUAAGAACAUACAGCUGGCGGGUUAUACACUCUAUCGGCAGGACAGAACAACAGCCUCUGGUAAGACACCAGGCGGGGGCCUACACAUUUAUGUAAACAACAGCUGGUGCACAAUAUCUAAGGAAGUCUCUAGGUUUUGCUCGCCUGGGGUAGAGUAUCUCAUGAUAAGCUGAAAACCUCACUCAAUGCAAACAGGAAAACGCUCAUCCAGAGGCGGUGCUCCUAGUGGCCGGGGACUUUAAUGCAGGGAAACUUAAAUCAGUUUUACCAAAUUUCUAUCAGCAUGUUAAUUGUGCAUCCAGAGCUCUCCCUCACCUUCCAUUUGGCAAAUCUGACUAUAAUUCUAUCUUCCUGAUUCUUGCUUACAAACAAAAAUUAAAGCAGGAAGCACCAGUGACUCGGUCUAUAAAAAAGUGGUCAGAUGAAGCAGAUGCUAAACUACAGGACUAUUUUGCUAGUGCAGACUGGAAUAUGUUCCAGGAUUCUUCCAAUGGCAUUGAGGAGUACACUACAUCAGUCACUGGCUUUAUCAAUAAGUGCAUCGAGGACGUCGUCCCAACAGUGACUGUACGUACAUACUCCAACCAGAAGCCAUGGAUUACAGGCAAUAUUCGCACUGAGCUAAAGGGUAGAGCUUCCACUUUCAAAGAGAGGGACUCUAACCCGGAAGCUUAUAAGAAAUCCCGCUAUGCCCUCCCACGAACCAUCAAACAGGCAAAGCGUCAAUACAGGACUAAAAUCGAAU
rnacentral:lncRNA from 1 species